rnacentral:lncRNA from 1 species
UGGAUUUUUGGGGGCAGGCCGAGAGACCGAUCCCAUGUCGGGGAGACCGGUCCCUCAGUCCGAAAACUGCCCAGUCCGGGUUGAUGCAAUAUUGGGAAUUUGAGGGGCCUCUUUGGAUUUUGUUACUUUAGAUGGCCUAAAUAGCCAUUCCACCCUCUCCCUUCCUCAUUUCUCUUCUCUCAACCGUCCCCACACCUUUGUUAGAGAGAGAAGAAGGAGGAGAAGAAGAAGGAGAAGUUGGAGAGCAAGCUUGAGGGAGCUUUGGAGCAUCUUCCUCUUUCCCAUUUCUCACUUUUGGAGGCUUGGAGCUUGGACUUGGAGCCUUGUGGUGGAUUAAUCUUCAACCUUUAAGCAUUUUGAGCUUGGUUUAGAUCUCCUCUUGAGGUUAGUUGCUUAUUUCUCCCCUCUAGACCUAUUUUUGAUAGAUUUUGGGAGAUGAAACCCUAGAUUUGAAUUUUAGGGUUGAUUUUGGGGCUUUUUGAUUUAGGGCUUUUGGAGCUCAAUCUCUUGGAUUAGA